GAGCCGCGCCCGCGUGUGAAGCCGCGCCCGCGUGUGAAGCCGCGCCGCGCGCUUUUGUGUAGCCGAGCCGCGUCUCCCUGUUGCAAGCCGAGCCGCGUCUCCCCCUGUUGCAAGCCGAGCCGCACGCGAAAUCCCUGUACCGAGCCGAGCCGCGUCUGCCCAAGCCGAGCCGGUCCUGUCUUCUUCCAGCCGAGCCGCCAGGACUAAAUUGGCUCCAUCCACCUAUAUUUUGGUAAGCUAAUUAAUUAUUGUGGUUUUUCCGGUAAGACUCCAUGCUCGGACGUUAGUUAAAUUAAUUUGGAUCUAAAUUAUAUUAUUUUCCUCAAGGGACGUCUUGGACCAAGAAAUUACUGCAGCGCGGGAUUUCCUUCAGUAGGGGCUCGAGCACUGCAACCUCCUUCUAGGUUAGGACUUCGUCGCUUGGAAAGCGUACUGCCUCGCGGUUAGGACUCGACAAGUAGAUCUCCAGGUAAGAGAUUCUACUACUAGUUUCAUGUUUGAAGUAUGAGACUGUGUAUGCCCUAUGUUGCAUAUUGAGAGUUUGACAGUAUGAUGCCUGAAAUAAAUGUUAGUAUGAUGCAAAUGACGAUAUAGUUGUGCUAUAGCCUGUUAUGCGUGGCAAGAUUUAUUAUGGUUACGACGAAUGUCGGGGCGGAGAGUGUAGAAAUGAUUUAUGUGACAUGUUAUAUGCUGAUGCCAUGUGUAUGUAUACUGCAAAUUAGGGUACCUGUUAGCUUGAUUCUGUUAGAGUCGUACCUGCAUGGGUGUCCUUCGGGAUCACCACCUAUUGAGGACUGUGUGGUCCGACGGGACGCCAGUCUAGCAUGAUAUAGACAUGACUCGAGUGACUCGACGGGGUCCUCGCAUCCCGACUGUCCUAGGUGUCCCCGGGCACCGAAGACCAGAGUUACGUUCCUACGGGAGCGCAUGAUUGCACGUGUUCGGGAACGUGCCAGAGAUUGGGUACCAGUUAUCAGGACUCUAACAGGAAGUUAACAGGCACCUAGUGGGACUAGUAGUGGGUCCCUUACUGAGUAUUUUUAUACUCAUUCUCUCCACUUUAUGUUUUCAGGUAGAGGACGAGGCAAAGGCAAGGGCAAGCUGGCGAGCGACCCGAAGUGAGGCCGAGGAGGGCCAUAGGGACUACCGCUUCCGCUUAUUUCUUAUUUCAGAUUUUAGCAUUUGAGUUUGAGUACUUUUUAUUUUUCACUAUCUUUUAUGUAGAUAGGGCCCGAGUAGGAUUUCAGAACGUUUUUACAUUUUUGCAUGACUACCUUGUUUAUGUUUUUAUAAAUGAAUUUCUUGAACCGUAUGCUUUUAAUAAAAUUUUUAGACUUAAA